CUGUGUGUUCUGAAAAGACACCCAUAUAGAUUGCACCUCUGAUUUGGAUCACCAAGACCUGCAGAUAAGUUCUGAUCUUUUUGGAUCUUAACAUGUCUUUUGAGGCCUCCGUUGGAUUUGCAAACCUUUUGGGAGAGUGUCUGUGUAGGGAGAGAGUG